GAUAGUUUUGAAUUAUUGGUUACACAGAGAAAACUGAAAAACUUGAGAUUAAAAAUAAAAAACUGUUGGAGCAGGAUGCUGUAAAAUGCUCUAAAUGAACUGCCAUGCUCCUUAGAGGAAAGGCCAAGGUUAGCACUGUCAGCGAGAGCAGCACUGAUGAAGCAGGACCAGGACCCAGAAGAAGAGACAUGACAGGUGCACUAUUGUUAAGUCCAGUCAUGGUGGUGAUGAGGAGGAAAAUGAUGAAGAGGAGGAGGACAGGCAGGAGGAGUAUGGAGCAGGAGGAACCAGCACAGAUACAGUGAAAGCUUGUCCAUCUUUAAACUGAAUAAGACGACCCAUAGACCGGUCACUCUUCAUGGACACACAGCUGGGUUCAGGUCCAGGUUUCUGCUGCUGCAUCCUGAUACAAACAAAGA